rnacentral:rRNA from 1 species
CUACCACUUCCAAGGAAGGCAGCAGGCGCGCAACUUACCCUAAUCUCGAUUCGAGGAGGUAGUGACAAGAAAUACCGAUGCGGGACCCUACGGGUGCCGCGUUCGGAAUGAGUACGAUUCGAACCACCUAACGAGGAACGAUCGGAGGGCAAGUCUGGUGCCAGCAGCCGCGGUAAUUCCAGCUCCAAUAGCGUACGUUAAAGUUGCUGCAGUUAAAAAGCUCGUAGUUGAACGUUCGGGUUCCGCGGGACGGGGCCGCCCCGCGAGGGACGGCGCCGCCCCGGGGCUCGUGAUAUCUCAUCUCGCCGCCCGUCGCGAGGCGGACGGAGGGAUGGAUGAGGUUACCUGGAAAAAAUCGGGGCGAUCUAGGCGGGCGAACCUCGCCAACGAACGAUCGGAC